rnacentral:lncRNA from 1 species
AGAGCCCCAUCAGCCAUGGAGGAUGAGGAAUGUAUCCACGCCAGCAUGACCUCAUCCAGUUACAGCCCUCCCUCCAUGUCGUAUUCUGAGGCGGUGGCUUCUCUCCUGAGAAGGUGGGAGAAAAUCCAGCAUCUGAAGCUCAGCUUCCUCUCAGGAGCAAAGAGAAGAAACCCUGGGCUCGCUCUCUCCCUCUCCAUCUCCUAUCAACACUCAGCAGAGGGCAGCAAACAGGAACCAUGGAAAAGAUAAGAGAGAAGAGGGUGCCACAUGGAGAGAAAGCUACGCACGCAUAAACACACACCCACCCGCAGCAGCAAGCGGAAUUGUUUAGCUUCCUCUAGCUUCCAAAGUAUGAACACUCCGCCUCCUCCAGUGAACAGGGCCAGGCAGAAAAAAGUCGAAGCUGAAGAGACAGAAGUUCUUUUCUCAGCUUGAGAGAAAAUGUGCAGUGGACUGGCUUUUGGUGUGUGGAGGGGAAGGGAGGCACUCAGAACACGUGGGAGGGGAAAGGAAGGCGGCCG